GACGAACGCUGGCGGCGUGCUUAACACAUGCAAGUCGAACGGAAAGGCCCUGCUUUUGUGGGGUGCUCGAGUGGCGAACGGGUGAGUAACACGUGAGUAACCUGCCCUUGACUUUGGGAUAACUUCAGGAAACUGGGGCUAAUACAGGAUAGGAGCUCCUGCUGCAUGGUGGGGGUUGGAAAGUUUCGGCGGUUGGGGAUGGACUGGCGGCUUAUCGGCUUGCUGGUGGGGGAGUGGCUUACCAAGGCUUUGACGGGUAGGCGGCCUGGGAGGGUGGCCGGCCACAUGGGGACUGAGAGACGGCGCAGACUCGUACGUUGGGCAGCAGUGGCGAACCUUGUACAGCGGGCGGAAGCCGGUUGCGGCAACGCCGCGUGCGUGAUGACGUCCUUUUGGUUGUAAACCGCUGUCGCCUGUGACGAAGCGUGAGUGACGGUAAUGGGUGAAGAAGCACCGGCUAACUACGUG
rnacentral:rRNA from 1 species